rnacentral:rRNA from 1 species
CAGUCGCCGCGGGAAUACGAAGGGGGCUAGCGUUGUUCGGAAUUACUGGGCGUAAAGGGCGCGUAGGCGGCCAUUCAAGUUAGAUGUGAAAGCCCUGGGCUCAACCUAGGAAUUGCAUUUGAUACUGUUUGGCUUGAGUUCGGGAGAGGUAAGUGGAAUUCCUAGUGUAGAGGUGAAAUUCGUAGAUAUUGGGAAGAACACCAGUGGCGAAGGCGGCUCACUGGACCGACACUGACGCUGAGGCGCGAAAGCGUGGGGAGCAAACAGGAUUAGAUACCCCUGUAGUCCCUGUCUCUUAUAU